rnacentral:rRNA from 1 species
AUGGCGUCAGGAUGAACGCUAGCGACAGGCUUAACACAUGCAAGUCGAGGGGCAGACAUAAAAGUAGCAAUACUUGGUGGCGACCGGCGCACGGGUGAGUAACGCGUAUGCAACCUACCUAUCAGAGGGGAGUAACCCGGCGAAAGUCGGACUAAUACCGCAUAAACAGGGGCACCGCAUGGUGAUAUUUGUUAAAGAAAUUCGCUGAUAGAUGGGCAUGCGUUCCAUUAGGUAGUUGGUGAGGUAACGGCUCACCAAGCCGACGAUGGAUAGGGGAACUGAGAGGUUGGUCCCCACACUGGUACUGAGACACGGACCAGACUCCUACGGGAGGCAGCAGUGAGGAAUAUUGGUCAAUGGGCGGGAGCCUGAACCAGCCAAGUCGCGUGAAAGGAAGAAGGAUCUAUGGUUCGUAAACUUCUUUUGCAGGGGAAUAAAGUGCAGGACGUGUCCUGUUUUGUAUGUACCCUGAGAAUAAGGAUCGGCUAACUCCGUGCCAGCCGCAGC